GAGCCUGUAGCUCAGUCGGUAGAGCAACUGACUUUUAAUCAGUAGGUCAUGGGUUCGAAUCCCAUCGGGCUCACCA
rnacentral:tRNA from 2 species